rnacentral:rRNA from 1 species
AGUGAACGCUGGCGGUAGGCCUAACACAUGCAAGUCGAACGGCAGCACAGUAAGAGCUUGCUCUUACGGGUGGCGAGUGGCGGACGGGUGUGGAAUACAUCGGAAUCUACUUUUUCGUGGGGGAUAACGUAGGGAAACUUACGCAAAUACCGCAUACGACCUCUGGUUGAAAGCAGGGGAUCUUCGGACCUUGCGCGAUUGAAUGAGCCGAUGUCGGAUUAGCGAGUUGGCGGGGUAAAGGCCCACCAAGGCGACGAUCCGUAGCUGGUCUGAGAGGAUGAUCAGCCACACUGUAACUGUGACACGGUCCAGACUCCUACGGGAGGCAGCAGUGUGGAAUAUUGUACAAUGGGCGCAAGCCUGUUCCAGCCAUACCGCGUGUGUGAAGAGGGCCUUCGGGUUGUGAAGCCCUUUUGUUGGGAAAGAAAAGCAGCAGGUUAAUACCCCGCUGUUCUGACGGUACCCAAAGAAUAAGCACCGGCUAACUUCGUG